AGGGCACCACCAGGAGUGGAGCCUGCGGCUUAAUUUGACUCAACACGGGAAAACUCACCCGGCCCGGACACCGUAAGGAUUGACAGAUUGAUAGCUCUUUCAUGAUUCGGUGGUUGGUGGUGCAUGGCCGUUCUUAGUUCGUGGAUCGAUUUGUCUGGUUUAUUCCGAUAACGAGCGAGACUCUAGCCUACUAAAUAGUAACGGGAUUACUUUUGUCCCGGUUGCUUCUUAGAGGGAUUUUCGGUGUUUAGCCGCACGAGAUUGAGCAAUAACAGGUUUUGUGAUGCCCUUAGAUGUCCGGGGCUGCACGCGCGCUACACUGGCGAAAUCAGCGUGCUGUAUCCAUUCUCGAAAGGGAUUGGUAAACCCAUGAAAAUUCGCCGUGCUUGGGAUCGGAAAUUGCAAUUAUUUUCCGUGAACGAGGAAUUCCAAGUAAGUGCGAGUCAUCAACUCGCUCUGAUUACGUCCCUGCCCUUUGCACACACCGCCCGUCGCUGCCCGGGACUGAGCCAUUUCGAG
rnacentral:rRNA from 1 species